ensembl:lncRNA
CAGCUACCAGUGCAGAUUAUCCUGUCAGCCUCGUGGACAGCAAAACAUUUUUUUUUUUAGAUCUUAAAAUGUUGAGGAAAACUUCAUGCUGUUAGCAACUCCCUCAAACCUCUGCCUGGAGAGGGCAGUGAGCUGGAUUUAGCUUGUCCUGAAGGGACCCUUGCAGUUGCAUCCAAUAUAAGCUUCUAGCUCCAGGUCCUGGAAAUUUAUCCCCUAGGCUUGCUUGGUUAGGCUUCAGCUCCACAGACUAAAGCUCAUGGCUAUCCUUAUCUUCUGUGUCAAACUGUAGUUUCCACUAGACGAUAAUGACGUCUCACCAUUUCUGCAGCUAGCCUUCUUUUAGCCCCACGGACUGCAGCCCGCCAGGCUCCUCUGUCCAUGGAAUUUUCCAGGGGACUCAGGUCCAAUUUCCUAGACAGAGAACUACAUCCCACCCACCACGACUAAGAGUUCACAUGCUGCAACUAAAGAUCCCAUAUGCCACAAGGAAGAUGGAAGAUCCUGCGUACAGCAACUGAGACGCGACACAGCCACAUAAAUAUUAAUAACAAACAAGCAAACAAUAAAGUGCCCAGAGCACAGGCUUUUAGGACAUGGGAUGGUACAACUUGCUGAUGAAAAUGACCAUGUUCCCUAUAAAAAGUGUGAGGCUUGUAAAGCCAUCCUUCAAAUUCCUGCCUGCUCCCCAGGUACGUAGAAAGUGAGUUGCUGGUUCCAGUUUGAAAUCUUGUCCUGAACGCCUGUGCUGUAGAUGUUCCUGUCUUUAUCACCUUCCUUCUUACUCUUCCAGCUUCUCUUUCUCUCCCUGCCUAAGCCUCUCAUUAGUCCAAUUUAUAAACUGUUGUUGUCAUUGUCCUUUCAGUUCAACUCCCCCAGGAGCAGGGUCCUCUAGGGAUGCGCAUCAAACUGGGGAAGGGAGGCAGAAGAGGAGCUGCAGGGACAUCCUCAUUUCCAAGGGGAAGUUGAACAAGGAAUCAGAGUUGGCAGCAGAUGGAUCAUCCUGGGCCCUAGUCUUUUGGUACAUCAUCAGGAUAAUCAGGGAGCACUUCAUUAUACAGAGAGAGUCUGACUGUUUGGAAGAGUCCCAUUCAGGGACUGGAAGGUUCUGGCCUGGAGAUAAUGACGAGCCGGAAGCCUUUAGCUUUCUUCUGGGCACUGGCCUUUGGCUGCCCCCUGGACACAUGCACACGCACGCGCACUUUCUCACACAAACCCCGCCACACACACACACACACACACACACACACACACACACACACGUUCCCUGGGCUUUUAGUCAGCUGAAGAGUUUGUGGGUGCAUUCCAGGCCUGGAAGGCUGGUGAGCAGAGUCAAGCUGGAGGGUGCAGAUACGCACGACUGCUCUUGCUGAUUGCUGAGAAUAUGCAAACCCCCAGGUUCCCAAGGACCCAUUAAACCAUCACUAAUGCCUCACCCAGGCUUCCCAGGUGGCGCUAGUGCUAAAGAACCCGCCUGCCAAUACAGGAGAGGUAAGAGACUCGGGUUCAAUCUUUGGGUCUGGAAGAUCCUCUGGUCCCCUGGAGAGGGGCAUGGCAACCCACUCCAAUAUUCUGGCCCGGAGAAUCACCAUGGAGGAGCCUGGUGGGCUACAGUUUGCCAGGGGUCGCAAAGAGUUGGGCACGACUGAGUGACUUAGCAGGCACACGCAGUGCCUCAUCCAGAGUGGGAGUGGGUUCCCUCCCAACCCGGGAAGGAUAAAGGAGCAGACCUGGGGAGUGGCCCCACUAGCUGAAAACAAGAAAAUGGAUUAACAGCUUAGCUCAGAAGUUCCAGCAGCCCAGGGACAGUUGGUUUGUUGGGUACACAAUGGAGUCAGCAUUUUCAACUCCCUCCCUCCUACCGUCAGGGUGUGAAACUAGAGUUUAUUCUGAGGAUGGGGACUUGGAGACAGUGGGGGGGGGGGGAGCGUAGGGGCUCAUGGGGAGGGGG